UACGUAGGGUGCGAGCGUUGUCCGGAAUUACUGGGCGUAAAGAGCUCGUAGGUGGUUUGUCGCGUUGUUCGUGAAAACUCACAGCUCAACUGUGGGCGUGCGGGCGAUACGGGGCAGACUAGAGUACUGCAGGGGAGACUGGAAUUCCUGGUGUAGCGGUGGAAUGCGCAGAUAUCAGGAGGAACACCGGUGGCGAAGGCGGUUCUCUGGGCCGAUACUGACGCUGAGGAGCGAAAGCGUGGGGAGCGAACAGG
rnacentral:rRNA from 1 species